rnacentral:rRNA from 1 species
CUCAGAUUGAACGCUGGCGGCAUGCCUUACACAUGCAAGUCGAACGGCAGCACGGGUGCUUGCACCUGGUGGCGAGUGGCGAACGGGUGAGUAAUACAUCGGAACGUACCUUAUCGUGGGGGAUAACGCAGCGAAAGCUGUGCUAAUACCGCAUACGCCCUGAGGGGAAAGCGGGGGAUCGAAAGACCUCGCGCGAUUAGAGCGGCCGAUGCCUGAUUAGCUUGUUGGUGGGGUAAAAGCCCACCAAGGCGACGAUCAGUAGCUGGUCUGAGAGGACGAUCAGCCACACUGGGACUGAGACACGGCCCAGACUCCUACGGGAGGCAGCAGUGGGAAUUUUGGACAAUGGGGGAAACCCUGAUCCAGCAAUGCCGCGUGAGUGAAGAAGGCCUUCGGGUUGUAAAGCUCUUUUGUCCAGGGAAGAAACACCGGCUCUAACACAGUCCGGGAAUGACGGUACCUGAAGAAUAAGCACCGGCUAACUACGUG